ACAGGGAGGUCCUCGAAAAAAAAAAACCUGCUCCACAGUACAUGCAACUUGAAACAGUUGACAGUUCUCCUUUCAGUGCAACAGUGACCUAAAGCAUGCAGCCAGGACGACACUUCAGUGGCCCUGCCAAAGCCCUGACUUGAUCUGUGGAGACACCUGACGACGGCAGUUCACAGACACUUCUCAUCCAAUCUGAUGGAGCUUCAGAGGAUCUGACGGGAAGAAUGGGACAAGCUGCCCAAAUCCAGCUGCUGUCAUUAGCUGACCCCUAUCACCAGUCAGAGAUUGAAAAAAGAAUUGGGGUGUCUUCCUGCAAGCAUGCAACUGCUCCAUCAUCAAGACCCUGCAGCACUUCCCUGUGGUAACACAUGGUAACUGCAGAGGGAUCAUGGAGAAUGAGCUUCCAGGGCACACUGUGCAGAUAAUGCAGACACUGUGGAAGACCAACACUUAAUGUUCUGGCAGUACAUUCAGGACUGGAUGUUUCCAUGACGACUAAGAAGGACUGCUGACCACAGGACAAGGUGGAGAGCACAAGGUCUUUCGGUUAACAAAGUUUAUCAUGAUGACAAUGGUGGCCGCUGUGACAAAAAGUAUGAUAAAGAUAACAUUACAUAGAAUAGGUUAAGACUGUGAUGAUAAUGCACAGUACAUACUGUACAUUACACUGUGACACUGACAGACUGAAUGAGAAAUGGGAAAAGAUAAACUCAUCGGUGACUUAACGUUUUAGGAAAUGUACUUAUCUGAGGCCUCAAUUAUCAUUAAUUGUAAUUAACAUUAAAAUAAUGAAGUUUAUUUCCUACAAGAAAUAAAGUUGUAAGAAAAGCAUGACAUCUUAAAUUCAUACAAGUUACUUUUAGUGAAAACUGGAUUCUUUUGAUUUUCAUUUGACUGAAGGGUCUUAACAAGUGGAUGUUUUUACUGCAGUUUUGAUAUUAAAUAGAUAAACAAAAAACGAGAUAAUGCUGUAAACUGAUAAUAAAUUCCACCCACUUAUGUUAU